rnacentral:rRNA from 1 species
AGAGUUUGAUCCUGGCUCAGGAUGAACGCUGGCGGCGUGCCUAACACAUGCAAGUCGAGCAACCCUUCGGGGUGAGCGGCGGACGGGUGAGUAACGCGUGGGUAACCUGCCCUGUACACAGGAUAACAUACCGAAAGGUAUGCUAAUACGAGAUAAUAUGUUUUGAUCGCAUGGUCGAGAAUCAAAGCUCCGGCGGUACAGGAUGGACCCGCGUCUGAUUAGCUAGUUGGUGAGGUAAUGCUCACCAAGGCGACGAUCAGUAGCCGACCUGAGAGGGUGAUCGGCCACAUUGGAACUGAGCACGGUCCAAACUCCUACGGGAGGCAGCAGUGGGGAAUAUUGCACAAUGGGCGAAAGCCUAUGCAGCAACGCCGCGUGAGCGAUGAAGGCCUUCGGGUCGUAAAGCUCUGUCCUCAAGGAGAUAAUGACGGUACUUGAGGAGGAAGCCCCGGCUAACUACGUGCCAGCAGCCGCGGUAAUCGUAGGGGGCUAGCGUUAUCCGGAUUUACUGGGCGUAAAGGGUGCGUAGGCGGUCUUUCAGUCAGGAGUGAAAGGCUACGGCUCAACCGUAGUAAGCUCUUGAAACUGUAAGACUUGAGUCAGGAGAGGAGAGUGGAAUUCCUAGUGUAGCGGUGAAAUGCGUAGAUAUUAGGAGGAACACAGUUGCGAAGGCGGCUCUCUGGACUGUAACUGACGCUGAGGCACGAAAGCGUGGGGAGCAACAGGAUUAGAUACCCUGGUAGUCCACGCCGUAAACGAUGAGUACUAGCUGUCGGAGGUACCCCCUUCGGUGGCGCAGCUAACGCAUUAAGUACUCCGCCUGGGAAGUACGCUCGCAAGGUGAAACUCAAAGGAAUUUGACGGGACCC